GAAAAUAGUUUAAAACCAAAGCAUGCCAAAAAAAUAAAAAUAAAAAUGAAGGUUUUAAAAGCAAAGCAUGGGGGCAUGGAUAAGAAAGUAAAAAGAAACGUUGAGAACAGAUACAUGAACUUGUCCCCAAGUCAAGUAUUCAGAUUUUGCAGUUUCCAACGCCUAGAUCUCUGAGUUGGCAGUAAAGUGUCAUUAGAUCAGUCCUUAUCAAACUUUAUAGUGGGUACAAGUCACACAAAGAUCUUGGUAAAGGAGACUUUGAUUUAGCAGGGCCAGGAAAGGACUCUAGAGUCUGCAUUUGUAAUGUGCUCACUGUGGUUCAAAUGGUGCUAGCCAAUGGACCAAGACAUCAGAGUUUAGAAGAGACUAGAGUUUACUAGUAGAGACUCAAGAAGAUAGUUCAUUUGCUUGUGAAGCCAAGUUUACUCUAAGGAGUCCUCCACUUUGGCUUGAUGGUGUGAAAAAAAAUGAACUGAUAAUUUUUAUGACAUUUUGCAAUUGUUAAGUGAAUGAUGUUGUUUUCUAACCAAUAGGCCACAUCUGAGAGCCUCAAAUUGUAAUGAACCUGGUCAUUCAAUGUAUUGAUGAAUAAUUGACAAAUAAAGUAGUAAAAUUAGAUUUCCUAGGGUAAAAUUAUAAGACAUAUCUGGGCUUACAUGUUUUAAAAUGUGACUAGCAAAAGGGAAAGGGCACAGUAAGAAUAUUUUUUAAAUUGCAAUUCCCCAUAUAUUAUGAAUUUUAGUAUCAUAUAAUUAAUUUCUAUAGGGAGUAUUUUAUAUAACUUAUUAUAUAUAUGUGUGUAUAUACAUACAAUAUAAUAUUAUUCAUCUAAAUAUUUCAAGGUAAUGUUUUGGAUGUGUUAACUAAAAUUUGUAUUAAACAAAUACUUUUGAAGAUUUGGUAUUGAAAUUGUCAAUCAGAUAUAUCUGUUGAACAUUAGUAUAAAAUCAUAAUUAUGUAAAUAUUUAGCUAGACAUUACAUCCUUUCCUACUCUUUGACCCACUGUAAAUUUAGUUUAAAAGGAAACUGCUGUUCUAUAUUGAUGAGGAUGAUCAAUGAUAAGAAUUAUCUUUCCUAAUUUUUUUCCUUUUGGUGAUACUUGCAAUGAAACCAAGAUUUCAUACAGUUUGGGCAAGCACUCUGUGACUAAGCCCAACCUAUAUGGUUAAAAUGUAGCAAAUAUGAAAUGGUAGAACAAGGAACAAGAAGAUAGUGUAUGAUUUAUCUAAUUAAUGAUAAAAGAAAAACAAUAUUGCGUUAGGUUAAACUUGACCUUCCUAGUAGUCAAUGAUAAAGGGAAUAACAAGUUAAUAAUUUAGAAAGACAUUCCUCAGACCUUGUGUUUCUUUCUGUAAAUUGUUGUAAGUUAGAAAAAAGUUCUCUCUAUGGAAUUAAACAUAAAACACAGCACAAGUUAUAGCAAGCAGUAAGUAUUAUGGUAGUCAUGGUAUGCAUGAAGGACCUUGUAUGAUUCAGUACUCUUCUUCCUAGAGUGUUUUUGCAUGGCUAGCUGAGGAAUAUGGCAAUAGCCUGAGCACGGGUUAUAGUUCAGCUGGCCCAACAUCUUGAUGGUCAUUCAUGAUGACAUAAAAUUAUUUUCAUUAUUUCAAAUUUCUUAUAAAGUGGAAGAAUAUUUUAAACCAUAGUAUUAGCAUUUGAAGUUUGCAUAAAGUGCAGUAAUGUCAUGUAUAUUUUAGGUCUAUAUAUUAACUUGUAAGAAACAUAUUCUUGACUGACAGGUAAAUGAAUUAUUUUUAAAAUAAACAUUUGAUAUAUUAUUUAUUAGAAAAUUUUAUAAAUUUAGUUUCAAUUUUGAGUGCUAAAUAUCUUUAGAAGAUUUAUUAUUCAGCUUUUACCACAAAUAAGUUAACUUUUCACUGGAAGAUGAUGGAACAGUGAGUUUAACACUUCAUGUUCUUUCUUUUUUAAGAUUUACUUAUUUUAUUUAUAGGAAUACACUGUUGCUGUCUUCAGCCACACCAGAAGAGGGCAUCAGAUCCCAUUACAGAUGGUUGUGAGCCACUAUUUGGUUGAUGGGAUUUGAACUCAGGACCUCUGGAAGAGCAGUCAGUGCUCUUAAUUGCUGAGCCAUCUCUCCAGCCCCGAGCUUAAUACUUCAUUACUGAGGUUUUCAGGUAUUAAGUUGGACAUAUCUUCAGGAAGCUUGAUUUUGAAGACAGCUAUUCUGUAUCAAAAGCUGGCCUUGAACUCACUAUAUACCUCAUUCUGAUUCAAACUCCACCUCUUACCACAGCCUCCAAACUGCUCAGAUUACAGAGCUAUCUAGUCUGGAGCAGAAUUACCCAUCAUCCCAGAAGAAAAUGCCUAACUUCUUUAAGUUUUGUCAAAACUCACCUCCAUCGGCCUUUGUUAGCAACUUUGCUUGAAGAAUGUCUAAUUAAGGCUACUUAUUUCCUCACAGUAGUUUGUGUAGGGAAUUUUCAAUGUGGUGCAAAAUAUUUGCUAAUGUACUGAUUCCACUUCCCUUAAUGGAUUUGUGAAUUUUUUCUCUAUGUAUAUUUUGUAAAUGUUUAACAGAUUCACUUGAGGAAGAAAGUUUGUGAAUCAAGCAUUUCUGUGAUCAAAAUGUUCCUAACAAAAGAAUAAGAAAAGGGGAAUAAUGUCUAAUACAAAUAUGAAAGUUAAUAUAGUAAUAUUAUUUUUUGAUAAUUGGAGGCUUUAAAUCAGAAAAAUAAAAUUUAAAUUAUCAUUUAAAAUAUAUCAAUAACAAUACUAAAUUAUUCCUCACUAAAUCUACAAGUUAUUAAUAGUGUAUUCAUGAACUAA